UACGAAGGGGGCUAGCGUUGUUCGGAAUCACUGGGCGUAAAGGGCGCGUAGGCGGCUUUGUAAGUCGGGGGUGAAAGCCUGUGGCUCAACCACAGAAUUGCCUUCGAUACUGCAUGGCUUGAGACCGGAAGAGGUAAGUGGAACUGCGAGUGUAGAGGUGAAAUUCGUAGAUAUUCGCAAGAACACCAGUGGCGAAGGCGGCUUACUGGUCCGGUUCUGACACUGAGGCGCGAAAGCGUGGGGAGCAAACAGG
rnacentral:rRNA from 1 species